GAUGAACGCUGGCGGCGUGCCUAAUACAUGCAAGUCGAGCGAACGGACGAGAAGCUUGCUUCUCUAAUGUUAGCGGCGGACGGGUGAGUAACACGUGGAUAACCUACCUAUAAGACUGGGAUAACUUCGGGAAACCGUAGCUAAUACCGGAUAAUAUUUUGAACCGCAUGGUUCAAAAGUGAAAGACGGUCUUGCUGUCACUUAUAGGUGGAUCCGCGCUGCAUUAGCUAGUUGGUAAGGUAACGGCUUACCAAGGCAACGAUGCAUAGCCGACCUGAGAGGGUGAUCGGCCACACUGGAACUGAGACACGGUCCAGACUCCUACGGGAGGCAGCAGUAGGGAAUCUUCCGCAAAGGGCGAAAGCCUGACGGAGCAACGCCGCGUGAGUGAUGAAGGUCUUCGGAUCGUAAAACUCUGUUAUUAGGGAAGAACAUAUGUGUAAGUAACUGUGCACAUCUUGACGGUACCUAAUCAGAAAGCCACGGCUAACUACGUG
rnacentral:rRNA from 1 species